UACGGAGGGGGCUAGCGUUGUUCGGAAUCAUUGGGCGUAAAGCGCGCGUAGGCGGCCCGGUAAGUCCGUUGUGAAAGUCAAAGGCUCAACCUUUGAACGCCGAUGGAUACUGCCGGGCUAGAGUCCGGAAGAGGCGAGUGGAAUUCCUGGUGUAGCGGUGGAAUGCGCAGAUAUCAGGAGGAACACCAAUAGCGAAGGCAGCUCGCUGGGACGGUACUGACGCUGAGGCGCGAAAGCGUGGGGAGCGAACAGG
rnacentral:rRNA from 1 species